rnacentral:rRNA from 1 species
CCCGACCUCCAACCCUUUGUUGUUAAAACUACCUUGUUGCUUUGGCGGGACCGCUCGGUUCCGAGCCGCUGGGGAUUCGUCCCAGGCGAGUGCCCGCCAGAGUUAAACCAAACUCUUGUUAUUAAACCGGUCGUCUGAGUUAAAAUUUUGAAUAAAUCAAAACUUUCAACAACGGAUCUCUUGGUUCUCGCAUCGAUGAAGAACGCAGCGAAAUGCGAUAAGUAAUGUGAAUUGCAGAAUUCAGUGAAUCAUCGAAUCUUUGAACGCACAUUGCGCCCCUUGGUAUUCCGAGGGGCAUGCCUGUUCGAGCGUCAUUACACCACUCAAGCUAUGCUUGGUAUUGGGUGCCGUCCUUAGUUGGGCGCGCCUUAAAGACCUCGGCGAGGCCUCACCGGCUUUAGGCGUAGUAGAAUUUAUUCGAACGUCUGUCAAAGGAGAGGAACUCUGCCGAUUGAAACCUUUAUUUUUCUAGGUUGACCUCGGAUCAGGUAGGGAUACCC